AGCACGUCGUGUGUGCCCAUCAAAGAGACGUGUUCUGUGCAGUCUAGCCAGCACAUUGAUGGGGUUCCUUCCUCUCCACAUCUGGGUAUCAGAGGUGGUGACCCACAUCCAGAAGAGAACAUCCACUGCCCGGGAUGGGCACAAGGAGAAGGAUCACCUCUGUCCUGCUGAAAUGUCUCCCUGGGGUUCUUACGUCCAAAUUUACAGCUGUCUUGGAAGAUUUGCACCCAGGAGAGAGAAAGUGGACAAGGGAAUUACCUUUCACCCAUGAUGGACAUAACAGCAAAGAGAGGACCAAAGGUUGCUUGGGCACAAGCAGGAGGUGGCCUGCAGAACCUUACCUUGUGGAGUGCUGACUGUGAGCUGAAGACAACCCUGAGCAGAAGCACAGGCGGGAGGGACCUUCUGAAAUGGCCAUCUACCCUGUGCAUGCAGCACAAAGGCAACCAAUUCCUCAUCUCUCCAGCCUAUAAAUCUUUGUUGACCAUCUCUGUGCUUGUCUCUAGAAGAACAUUUGAUCUAAUAGCCUUUUUAAAAAUUUCCCUUAAUUUUCCAGCAUAACCCCCCAGUGAAUCAUUAAUGUAACAAGAUAAAGAUCUCCAGCUAAGGAAUUAUUCUUAUUACAAAGUUCCCAAGUUCUAGUAGCAAACCUCUCCAGGGUAUAUAUUAA
rnacentral:lncRNA from 1 species